rnacentral:tRNA from 1 species
GCGGGGAUAGUUCAGUUGGGAGAGCGUCAGACUGAAGAUCUGAAGGUCACGUGUUCGUUCUACGUUCACCGCA